GACAGAGGGUGCGAACGUUGUUCGGAAUUACUGGGCGUAAAGCGCGUGUAGGCGGCUAUGCAAGUCGGGCGUGAAAUCCCACGGCUCAACCGUGGAAGUGCACUCGAACUGCGUAGCUAGAGUCCCGGAGAGGAAGGUGGAAUACUGGUGUAGAGGUGAAAUGCGUAGAUAUCGGAGGAACAUCAGUGGCGAAGCGACUUC
rnacentral:rRNA from 1 species